GACGAACGCUGGUGGCGUGCUUAACACAUGCAAGUCGAACGGUGAAGCCCAGCUUGCUGGGUGGAUCAGUGGCGAACGGGUGAGUAACACGUGAGCAACCUGCCCUCCACUUCGGGAUAAGCCUUGGACACGAGGUCUAAUACUGGAUAUGAGAGACUGCCGCAUGGUGGGGGUUGGGAAGUUUUUCGGUGGGGGAUGGGAUCGCGGCCUAUCAGCUUGUUGUUGGGGUAAUGGCCUACCAAGGCGUCGACGGGUAGCCGGCCUGAGAGGGCGACCGGCCACACUGGGACUGAGACACGGCCCAGACUCCUACGGGAGGCAGCAGUGGGGAAUAUUGCACAAUGGGCGAAAGCCUGAUGCAGCGACGCCACGUGAGGGAUGACGGCCUUCGGGUUGUAAACCUCUUUCAGCAGGGAAGAAGCGCAAGUGACGGUACCUGCAGAAGAAGCGCCGGCUAACUACGUGCCAGCCGCCGCCGUAA
rnacentral:rRNA from 1 species